AGAAGUCAUAUGCUUGUCUCAAAGAUUAAGCCAUGCAUGUGUAAGUAUGAAAUAUUUCAGACUGUGAAACUGUGAAUGGCUCAUUAAAUCAAUUAUAGUUUGUUUGAUGAUACGUGCUACUCGGAUAACCGUAGUAAUUCUAGAGCUAAUACAUGCAACAAACCCCGACUUCUGGAAGGGAUGCAUUUAUUAGAUAACAGGCUGAAGCGGGCUUUGCCCGCUGCUCCGAUGAUUCAUGAUAACUCGACGGAUCACACGGCCCUCGUGCCAGCGACGCAUCAUUCAAAUUUCUGCCCUAUCAACUUUCGAUGGUAGGAUAGGGGCCUACCAUGGUGGUGACGGGUGAUGGAGAAUUAGGGUUCAAUUCUGGAGAGGGAGCCUGACAAACGGCUACCACAUCCAAGGAAGGCAGCAGGCGCGCAAAUUACCAAAUCCUGACAUGGGGAGGUAGUGACAAUAAAUAACAAUACCGGGCUCUUCGAGUCUGGUAAUUAGAAUGAGUACAAUCUAAAUCCCUUAAUGAGGAUCCAUUGGAGGGCAAGUCUGGUGCCAGUAGCCGUGGUAAUUCCAUCUCUAAUAGUGUAUAUUUAAGUUGUUGCCGUUAAAAAGCUCGUAGCUGGACUUUGGGACGGGUCGGUCGGUCCGCCUCGCAAUGUGCACCGGUUGUCCCAUCCCUUCUAUCGGCGAUGUGUGCCUUGCCUUAACUGACCGGGUUGUGCCUCCAGCGCUGUUACUUUGAAGAAAUUAGAGUGCUUAAAGCAAGCCCACGCUCUAGAAACAUUAGCAUGGGAUAACAUCAUAGGAUUUCGGUCCUAUUAUGUUGGCCUUCGGGAUCAGAGUAAUGAUUAAGAGGAAGAGUCGGGGGCAUUCGUAUUUCAUAGUCAGAGGUGAAAUUCUUGGAUUUAUGAAAGACGAACCACUGCGAAAGCAUUUGCCAAGGAUGUUUUCAUUAAUCAAGAACGAAAGUUUGGGGCUCGAAGAUGAUCAGAUACCGUCCUAGUCUCAACCAUAAACAAUGCCGACCAGGGAUCAGCGGAUGUUGCUCUUGAACUCCACUGGAACCUUAUGAGAAAUCAAAGUCUUUGGGUUCAGGGGAGUAUGGUCACAAAUUUGAAACUUAAAGGAAUUGACGAAAGGGCACCACGAGGGAGUGGAGCCUGCGGCUUUAUUUGACUCAACACGGGAAACUUACCAAGUCCGGACAUAGCAAGGAUUGAUGGUGACCGAGAGCUCUUUCUUGAUUCUAUGGGUGGUGGUGCAUGGGCGUCCAUAGUUGGUGGAGUGAUUUGACUGGUUAAUUCCGAUAGCGAAUGAGACCUCGACCUACUAACUAGCUUCUGCGGAGGCAUCCCUCCUUUGCCGACUUCUUUGAGGGACUAUGGUCAUUUAGGCCACAGAAGUUUGAGGCAAUAACAGGUCUGUGAUGCCCUUAGAUGUUCAGGCCGCCGCACGCUUCACCUGAUGUAUUCAACGAGUCUAUAGCCUUGGCCCGUGCGGCCGGGUAAUCUUUAAAAAUUUCAUCGUGAUGGGGACAGAUCAUUGCAAUUGUUGGUCUUCAACGAGGAAUUCCUAGUAAGCGCGAGUAAUCAGCUCACGUUGACUACGUCCCUGCCCUUUUUACACACAGCUUGUCACUCCUACUGAUUCAAUGGUUGGUGAAGUGUUGGAUCGAGGCCAUGGGGGCGGUUCCGCCAUGACGUCGCGAGAAGUCCACCUGAACCUUAUCAUUUAGAAGAAGGAGAAGUCGUAACAAAAGGUUUCCGUGGGUGAACCCUACGGUG
rnacentral:rRNA from 1 species